UACGUAGGUGGCAAGCGUUAUCCGGAUUUAUUGGGCGUAAAGGGAACGCAGGCGGUCUUUUAAGUCUGAUGUGAAAGCCUUCGGCUUAACCGGAGUAGUGCAUUGAAAACUGGGAGACUUGAGUGCAGAAGAGGAGAGUGGAACUCCAUGUGCAGCGGUGAAAUGCGUAGAUAUAUGGAAGAACACCAGUGGCGAAAGCGGCUCUCUGGUCUGUAACUGACGCUGAGGUUCAAAAGCGUGGGUAGCAAACAGG
rnacentral:rRNA from 1 species